GCCCGGGUGGUGGAACUGGUAGACACAAGGGACUUAAAAUCCCUCGCCCCUUAAAGGCGUGCCGGUUCGAUUCCGGCCCCGGGUA
rnacentral:tRNA from 3 species